UAGGGAAUCUUCCGCAAUGGACGAAAGUCUGACGGAGCAACGCCGCGUGAGUGAUGAAGGUUUUCGGAUCGUAAAACUCUGUUGUUAGGGAAGAACAAGUAUGAUAGUAACUGAUCAUACCUUGACGGUACCUAACCAGAAAGCCACGGCUAACUACGUGCCAGCAGCCGCGGUAAUACGUAGGUGGCAAGCGUUGUCCGGAAUUAUUGGGCGUAAAGCGCUCGCAGGCGGUCUUUUAAGUCUGAUGUGAAAUCUCGUGGCUUAACCACGAACGGUCAUUGGAAACUGGAGGACUUGAGUACAGAAGAGGAGAGUGGAAUUCCACGUGUAGCGGUGAAAUGCGUAGAGAUGUGGAGGAACACCAGUGGCGAAGGCGACUCUCUGGUCUGUAACUGACGCUGAGGAGCGAAAGCGUGGGGAGCGAACAGGAUUAGAUACCCCGGUAGUCC
rnacentral:rRNA from 1 species